rnacentral:rRNA from 1 species
GACGAGGGCGCGAGCGUGUCCGGAUUUAUUGGGCGUAAAGAGCUCGUAGGCGGCUUGUCGCGUCGUCUGUGAAAACCCGCGGCUCAACGGCGGGCUUGCAGUCGAUACGGGCAGGCUGGAGUUCGGUAGGGGAGACUGGAAUUCCGGGUGUAGUGGUGAAAUGCGUAGAUAUCCGGAGGAACACCAGUGGCGAAGGCGACUUUCUGGCCUGUUCUUGACGCUGAGGCGCGAAGGCCAGGGGAGCAAAGCGGG